AUAAAACCGAACUCCUUUUUUAUAUAGUUAAUCAGAGUGUUUAUUGAUACAAUUUCGUUUAUUCGGUCGAUAAUUAGGUUGUUAGUUUUUAUUAGUCUUAUUAGUUUUAAUCGAAAUUAUUAUCGUACGAUUCACCAUGUCAACUCGCCAUGUUUUGACUGCGAACAACAGCUGAUAGCGGUGUGUCAGAAGAAUGGCUUGCAAGACCGCGAUAGUGGAAAUUUCAGCUCAACUAACGUAUGACAGAUUAUAAAGCUAUUGGUGGCCACAUGGUUUUACCUGUUCAUUCUUUUCAGCUCUUGAGGUUAACCUGUCACCUCUACCCACAUGCAUAUUCCUUAAUGUGUUCUACAGACUAUUUACCAGUAAUUCAAAUUAAAUUGGAUAAUUCAUGAACAGUUACUGUAAUGGAACUUUAAGAAAGCAUCAUGCCUUGUUGUGGUUUGUGUUUGAUAAGAAAUUAUAACAAACAAAAUUAUGGCUGUUUAAAGUAAUUUAGAAUUGUUAGCUGUGAAAAUUUGUUUUUCAAUAAAAGUAUGCAAUUAUG